GGGGGCGUUUAGAUUCGACAGGGUUGUUUGGUCACAGGCUGCAGGUCGAGGGUGCUGUUCCCUCGUAAAUCAACAAGCAAACAAAUAUAGAUGCCGAUAAUAACGUCAUCGCUUUCCCGGGCGCUAAGCCCGCGCUCCGCGCUGCUUAACUAGAUUAAGUAGGGAAACUCGCUCGGAGCUUUGCUACCCGCUCCGACUCGGGUCAACCAUGGUGGCUGCCAUCGUGCCAAGUUAGCGGUUGAUAGCACGGUCUAAGAUAUAAUCGCGAACCCGGUUGGUCGUUCUGGCCGACUUCAGCGGUUCCUUCGGGAUAUCUGAGGUAAUGCAGAACUAAGCUUGUAGAUGCAUGUUUCCUUUCUUCUUUGGACGCGAGUGCGAUUCUCGCCGCCUCCACCA
rnacentral:tmRNA from 1 species